CAGGGAGAAGGAAGGAGAGAAUUAACAGACAGGCACCUGUUGCCGAAUUCUGUCCCUCAGUGUGUUCCCUGAGAUUGCAGGAGGUUCAUGUGGGAUCAACUUCUCAACCAGCAAAGAUGAGUCACCACCCUCAUCCCCUGCUGUGCACCCAGCCCUAAUUUUAUUUAGAUAAGUUCAGCAUAGGCGACUCAGUGGCUCAGUAAACCACACGACUUCAGUAUCACUGGUUAAUUUAUAACAUAUUAUACCUGAAUUACCUGCAGUGUGUUUCGUUUUACAGGAAGAUCAGCGGACGGCUCAGAUAAAAUCUCUUUGUAGAACAGGUGUGUGUUCAGCACAGUUCUUAUCCAAUAUAACUUGAAUUUUAUUUUCAGUGAAAGCUGAAAAGCGGAAUCCCUGUUCUCUUACACCUCCAGGUUAGGGGUUCGAUUUAUGCCUGGACUCUGUGUGGCGGCUGCAUGAUCUCCCCAUGUCACAUGGGGUUUUGCUGGGUUCCUCCAGCAGUCCAAAGGCAUGCAGCUAAGCUAACUCAUUCAUUUGUGUUUGUGCCCCGCAGAGGUCAGGCUUUACCUCUCGGAACAUGGACAGGAACAUAGACAGGAACUCCGCCAUUCACUCUCUGGCUUCUCAGACGUCAAAGUGCCUAAUCCUAACUGCCCUUCCUAGUAACACUUAAACUAGGAACAACUAGAAAAACAAUAGCACAACUAUGCAGUAAGACCUUUAAGUCCCACCUCCAAUGAACCCAGUGUGCUCUGAUUGGUCAGUUUGUCCUACAUGUUCCACUCCUGUCUUGCAGUCUGUAGACAGAUCCUUGCAGGUUAGAAUACAUUGGCUGUGAAGGGCAGCCACCCAUAGCAGCACCCAGGGAGCUGGGGCUUAAGAUGUGCCGAGGCCAGGCUAGAACCAAUGACUUUCCGAUCACAGGCACAGAGGCUUAGCCCACUGAACCACAUGCUGCCCCCAAAGAUUGUGUUACGAGGUGACCUCACCAUGCCUCGGAAGUAAGGGCUGGAAUUCUAACGAGGCGUUUCAGGUAGGUGAGAGAAGAGUGGUUUCUGUGGUGAGAGUUACUCCCUAUGCACAGACUGUUUACAUCACAGGUGUCAGACUCCAGUCCUGGGGGGCCGGAGCCCUGCACAGUUUUUG